rnacentral:rRNA from 1 species
UGGGGGCGGAGGCUUGAUUUGACUCUAAGCUCGCUCCCCGGAGAAAGAGGACCGGGGAACGGGUGAGGAGCACGUGGGGAACGUGCCCAUCACAAGGGGAUAACACUUGGAAACAGGUGCUAAUACCGUAUAACAAUCGAAACCGCAUGGUUUUGAUUUGAAAGGCGCUUUCGGGUGUCGCUGAUGGAUGGACCCGCGGUGCAUUAGCUAGUAUGGUGAGGAUAACCGAGUCUCACCCAAAGGCCAGCGAUGGCAUAGCCGACCUGAGAGAGGUGAUCGGUCCACAUUGGGACUGAGACACGGCCCAAACUCCUACGGGAGGCAGCAGUAGGGAAUCUUCGGCAAUGGACGAAAGUCUGACCGAGCAACGCCGCGUGAGUGAAGAAGGAUUUUCGGAUUCGUAAAACUCUGUUGUUAGAGAAGAACAAGGAUGAGAGUAACUGUUCAUCCCUUGACGGUAUCUAAUCCAGAAAGMCACGGCUAACUACGUGCCAGCAGCCGCGGUAAUACGUAGGUGGCAAGCGUUGUCCGGAUUUAUUGGGCGUAAAGCGAGCGCAGGCGGKUUCUUAAGUCUGAUGUGAAAAGCCCCCGGCUCAACCGGGGAGGGUCAUUGGAAACUGGGAGACUUGAGUGCAGAAGAGGAGAGUGGAAUUCCAUGUGUAGCGGUGAAAUGCGUAGAUAUAUGGAGGAACACCAGUGGCGAAGGCGGCUCUCUGGUCUGUAACUGACGCUGAGGCUCGAAAGCGUGGGGAGCAAACAGGAUUAGAUACCCUGGUAGUCCACGCCGUAAACGAUGAGUGCUAAGUGUUGGAGGGUUUCCGCCCUUCAGUGCUGCAGCUAACGCAUUUAAGCACUCCCGCCUGGGGAGUACGACCGCAAGGUUGAAACUCAAAGGAAUUGACGGGGGCYCGCACAAGCGGUGGAGCAUGUGGGUUUAAUUCGAAGCAACGCGAAGAACCUUACCAGGUCUUGACAUCCUUUGACCACUCUAGAGAUAGAGCUUCCYCUUUCGGGGGCAAAGUGACAGGUGGUGCAUGGUUGUCGUCAGCUCGUGUCGUGAGAUGUUGGGUUAAGUUCCCGCAACGAGCGCAACCCUUAUUGUUAGUUGCCAAUCAUUUCAGUUGGGCACUCUAGCAAGACUGCCGGUGACAAACCGGAGGAAGGUGGGGAUGAACGUUCAAAUCAUCAUGGCCCUCUAUAUGACCUGGGCUACUACAUCGUGCUACUAUCAUGGGACAGGUUACACUACUCGAGAAUUGCGAAGUCGCGAGGCUAAGCUAAUCUCUUAAAGCUUCUCUCAGUUCGGAUUGCAGGCUGCAACUCGCCUGCAUGAAGCCGGAAUCGCUAGUAAUCGCGGAUCAGCACGCCGCGGUGAAUACGUUCCCGGGCCUUGUACACAC